rnacentral:rRNA from 1 species
CCUACGGGAGGCAGCAGUGGGGAAUAUUGCACAAUGGGCGAAAGCCUGAUGCAGCGACGCCGCGUGAGGGAUGACGGCCUUCGGGUUGUAGACCUCUUUCAGCAGGGAAGAAGCGAAAGUGACGGUACCUGCAGAAGAAGCACCGGCUAACUACGUGCCAGCAGCCGCGGUAAUACGUAGGGUGCGAGCGUUGUCCGGAAUUAUUGGGCGUAAAGAGCUUGUAGGCGGUUUGUCGCGUCUGCCGUGAAAAUCCGGGGCUCAACCCCGGACUUGCGGUGGGUACGGGCAGACUAGAGUGUGGUAGGGGAGACUGGAAUUCCUGGUGUAGCGGUGAAAUGCGCAGAUAUCAGGAGGAACACCGAUGGCGAAGGCAGGUCUCUGGGCCAUUACUGACGCUGAGAAGCGAAAGCAUGGGGAGCGAACAGGAUUAGAUACCCUGGUAG